AAAACUGGUUAUUCUACGAUAAAUCACACUUGGGAACUUAUUAUUUCGAUUCUAACACGACAUACUAGUAACUACUUUUUAUGACCGUGCCACGCACCUGGAUCGGAUGACAUCAUUGCACGCGAGUGAUUUAUUGCAGAUUAACCUGAGGUAGAUUUUGCUCUACAUGUAUGUAGGUUAUUUGCUGGUAGUGUUAGAAUUCUGUUUGCACUUACUGUUUGUACACUUGGGAAGUGUAAGUUGUUGUUUGUACAACAGUUGUGAAACUUUUUAGGAUCACAUAAGUAUAUUUCAGCUCUUCUUUAAUGAUAUUUCCUUCCACCACAGUGUAUGCAAGGUAAUAUGGUAAAGUAUAUUUCCUAUCACAACCUGAUUUAUUUUCCUAUAAAACAAAGAAAGCUAAAAGCGUGACAUUGCUAUGCAAUAAAACCAUUGUUUUGUAUGAUAUUGUAGAAAAACAACAAACCUGUUCUCUUCUUAACCGCCUAAAUGUUACCCCUGAGCCGGAUAUUCAAAACUGCACAAUGACAUACGCUCAGUGAAAGAAUCUUUUUAUACUAUUUAAGGGAGAAAGUUGGCAACAACAGUAAAAGUUAUAGUUUAUGGUUAACAAGGAUGUAAAUCUUUUGAAAAGCAUCAAAUCUUUGUUUCUGAUUUUGCUUAAAAGAAUAUGUGUAGAACAAUUAUGUAUAAGGAGCAGGAAAUCUGAAUAUUAUAUUAUGUGUUAUAUUGUGAAGAAUCUCUGUAUAUUGUAUACUUUUCUGUAAAUGUUUUGGCUAAAUAAGGGUUGUCUUUUUUUUUUUUUUUUUUAAGUUUACUUUAUACUGCAUACCUACAAUUGCAUUACCUAAAUUUGUUAACUAUGGGAUUGUUUAAAUAGAAAUUUAUUUAGUUCUUGCUUCUUUCAUGCCAUUGUAAGGAUAGGAUGUCUUAUUCACAUAGUAGAAUAUGUAUACAUCUAUAUUUGUGUGUAAUGAGUUCAUUUAAACACACGAAUACAAACUGUCUGACAUGAAUUAUGUAAACUGUAUUUUUCAGUGAUCCAUAUUAAGCAGAAAAUAUGGUAAUGAAAAUAAUAU
rnacentral:lncRNA from 1 species